CCCUUAGACGUUCUGGGCCGCACGCGCGCUACACUGACCAGUGCAACAAGCAUCCGUCCUUGGCCGACAGGCCCGGGCAAUCUUUGAACGCUGGUCGUGAUGGGGAUAGACUUUUGCAAUUUUUGGUCUUCAACGAGGAAUUCCUAGUAAACGCAAGUCAUCAACUUGCAUUGAUUACGUCCCUGCCCUUUGUACACACCGCCCGUCGCACCUACCGAUUGAAUGGUCCGGUGAAGCCUCCGGAUUGGCGCGCACCUCGGUGCCGCCGAGAAGUUGGCUAAACCUUGCCAUUUAGAGGAAGGUGAAGUCGUAACA
rnacentral:rRNA from 1 species